rnacentral:lncRNA from 1 species
UUCAUAGUCAAAGACAUCUUUUACUUCAUAAAAAAAAGCUGAACCAAGAAAGAAGAUAUAUUGAUUCUCAGAAGACCCUAUGAUUCAAGUUGCGCGUACCAGACGCCUUGAAUUUUAACAUCCUUUGGAACCUUGGCUCCCAAAUCGGUAUCAGAUGGCUGAAGGCUCUCGAAUACUCCAAUAAGCUCUCCAGUCUCAGGCUUUGUACCAGUCACAGUAAAGGUGAUCUUCCCUGUUGAAGAGGCCGUGUUCUUAGUAUUUUCCUUUGCUAGCUCCUCCUCGUCUCCUCUCCCUCCAGCUGGCAAUGCAACUGCAUUGUCAUAACCGGUGGAACCACCUCGGCCCUUUGGGUCAAGGAAGGAGGAGCCUCUGUAAGAUGGCACGAGAAACUCUCCUGAAAAGCCAUCCGGUUUGCCAGAUGCUACAAGCUGCUUGAUGGUGAAAAGGAACGGCACACGCUCCCCUCCUGGAAGCUGGACUGUAACAGCAGCAUAAUCAAUUCCGUCUUUCUCCUCAAAUUUGAUGGUGCCAUCUGAUGCCACUUCAAAAGGUCCCUCAAUCUCGUCAAGGGUGUAGGUUAGUCGGGUCAUGAGCUUGGUCUUUUGAAACUCUGGUGGGGCAUUUUUGCCCACAGUCUCAGCCUUAACAGUGAAUGAUGUUGGCUCUAAGCAGAAUUUCUUGGCAUUGUACUUUCCGGGC